rnacentral:rRNA from 1 species
GAUGAACGCUGGCGGCGUGCCUAAUACAUGCAAGUCGAGCGAACAGAUAAGGAGCUUGCUCCUUUGACGUUAGCGGCGGACGGGUGAGUAACACGUGGGUAACCUACCUAUAAGACUGGGAUAACUUCGGGAAACCGGAGCUAAUACCGGAUAACAUUUGGAACCGCAUGGUUCUAAAGUGAAAGAUGGUUUUGCUAUCACUUAUAGAUGGACCCGCGCCGUAUUAGCUAGUUGGUAAGGUAACGGCUUACCAAGGCAACGAUACGUAGCCGACCUGAGAGGGUGAGCGGCCAGACUAGAACUGAGACACGGUCCAGAAACCGAAGGGAGGCAGCAGGAGGGAAUCUUCCGAAAUGGGCGAAAGCCUGACGGAGCAACGCCGCGUGAGUGAUGAAGGGUUUCGGAUCGUAAAACUCUGUGAUUAGGGAAGAACAAAUGUGUAAGUAACUGGGCACGUCUUGACGGUACAUAAUCAGAAAGACACGGCUAACUACGUG